rnacentral:lncRNA from 1 species
UCAAAUUAGGCUUCCAAAAGGCCCUCCACUGCCUAUCAGAGACGGUCCAAGGGUCAAAUGCCCUCUCGCUGCGAACAAAACCGAAACGGCGUCAAUAUGCUUGUAUAUAAGCUAUAUUAGUCGAAAUCUAGAAAUUUCAGUUUUCUAGCUGAAAUUCUUGCUUACCCUGGGUCAGAACACCUACUAAACCAACUCCCGAGGUCACCAAUUAGGCCCAAUGUGAAUUGGGAACCUGCUGCGAAGAAGUAAGUUCCAAACUGCAUCAAAUGCCCGAGUAAACUUCGUAUAGUUCCGAACUAGCUUCAUAAUUAGCUAAAUAUUCCAUUAAGCUUCCAAGUAGCUUAGCCCUGGUCUAAGGAGGUUAAUCCAUAGCUAAUUAAUCCAACUGUAAUUACUGAAAUCUCAGAUUAACCCAACUAGAAGCAACAAUCCCGAAACUAUACAUAACUCGUCCAAUAGAUUGCCGAAAAUUGAAAAAGUGAGCCGAUUACCUUCUCAAGCUUGCAACCAGUGAGUUACUGGUCCAGGGCUGCGAAAAGCUCUCCAAAACACUCCCUCACACGUCCACCAAGGCUCAGCGACACUCCCAAACAGCGAAGAGCGAGCUCGGCGACGA